UUUAAAUUGAGAGUUUGAUCCUGGCUCAGGACGAACGCUGGCGGCGUGCCUAACACAUGCAAGUCGAGCGAUGAAACUUCCUUCGGGAAGUGGAUUAGCGGCGGACGGGUGAGUAACACGUGGGUAACCUGCCUCAAAGAGGGGGAUAGCCUCCCGAAAGGGAGAUUAAUACCGCAUAACAUUAUUUUAUGGCAUCAUAAAAUAAUCAAAGGAGCAAUCCGCUUUGAGAUGGACCCGCGGCGCAUUAGCUAGUUGGUGAGGUAACGGCUCACCAAGGCAACGAUGCGUAGCCGACCUGAGAGGGUGAUCGGCCACAUUGGAACUGAGACACGGUCCAGACUCCUACGGGAGGCAGCAGUGGGGAAUAUUGCGCAAUGGGGGAAACCCUGACGCAGCAACGCCGCGUGAGUGAUGAAGGUUUUCGGAUCGUAAAACUCUGUCUUUAGGGACGAUAAUGACGGUACCUAAGGAGGAAGCCACGGCUAACUACGUGCCAGCAGCCGCGGUAAUACGUAGGUGGCAAGCGUUGUCCGGAUUUACUGGGCG
rnacentral:rRNA from 1 species